CGGCGAACGGUCGCGUAACACGUAAGCAACCUGCCCGAAAGACCGGGACAACCCUCCGAAAGGGGGGCUAAUACCGGAUGUGACCGUCUAGGCGAGUGCCUGGAUGAUUAAAGCGCCGCAAGGUGGCUUUCGGAGGGGCUUGCGGCCUAUCAGCUAGUUGGCGGGGUAACGGCUCACCAAGGCGUCGACGGGUAGCUGGUCUGAGAGGAUGGUCAGCCGGACUGGGACUGCGAUACGGCCCAG
rnacentral:rRNA from 1 species